UGGUGGGGUAAUUGCCUACCAAGCCUAUGACGGGUAGCUGGUUUGAGAGGAUGAUCAGCCAGACUGGGACUGCGAUACGGCCCAGACUCCUACGGGAGGCAGCAACUAGGAAUCAUGCGCAAUGGACGAAAGUCUGACGCUGCGACGUCGCGUGAGGGAUGAAGGUCUUCGGAUCGUAAACCUCUUUUAUCUGGGAACAAGUUCUGAGUGUACCAGAUGAAUAAGUGCCUGUCAACCACGUGCCAGAAGCAUCGGUGAUGCGUGUGGCACGAGCGUGAUCCGGAUUUACGUGGGCGUAAAGAGAUGCGUAGGCGCCUUUUGAAGUCACUUGUAAAAUCUCGCCGCUCAAGGGGGAAACUGCAAGUGAUACUGAAUUGGUUGACUCAAGUAGAGGAGAGGGGAAUUCCUGGUGGAGCGGUUACGAUGCGUUGAUAUCACGAGGAAUACCAUGUGCGAAGGCACCUCUCUGUACUUGUACUGACGCUAAGGCUCGAAAGUGUGGGGAGCAAAACGGAUUAGAUACCCGUGUAGUCCACAUUGUACACGAUCCCUGCUAGAUCUAUGC
rnacentral:rRNA from 1 species